rnacentral:rRNA from 2 species
UACGAAGGACCCGAGCGUUAUCCGGAUUUAUUGGGUUUAAAGGGUGCGUAGGCGGACUUGCAAGUCAGUGGUGAAAUCCCUCAGCUUAACUGAGGAACUGCCAUUGAAACUGCUUGUCUUGAGUACAUUUGAGGUGGGCGGAAUGUGUCAUGUAGAGGUGAAAUUCUUAGAUAUGACACAGAACACCAAUUGCGAAGGCAGCUCACUAAACUGUAACUGACGCUGAUGCACGAAAGCGUGGGGAUCAAACAGG